CAGCUCUCCGAGUGGUGUGGAUGUUUAUUGGGCCUAAAGCAUCCGUAGCUGGCUAAGUUAGUCCCUUGUUAAAUCCACCGAAUUAAUCGUUGGAUUGCGGGGGAUACUGCUUGGCUAGGGGACGAGAGAGGCAGACGGUAUUUCCGGGGUAGGGGUGAAAUCCUAUAAUCCCGGGAAGACCACCAGUGGCGAAGGCUGUCUGCUAGAACGCGCCCGACGGUGAGGGAUGAAAGCUGGGGGAGCGAACCGGAUUAGAUACCCGAGUAGUCC
rnacentral:rRNA from 1 species